rnacentral:rRNA from 1 species
UACGGAGGGGACUAGCGUUGUUCGGAUUUACUGGGCGUAAAGGGCGCGUAGGCGGUCUGUUAAGUUAGAAGUGAAAGCCUGGGGCUUAACCCCAGAACUGCUUCUAAAACUGGCAAACUAGAGUACGGGAGAGGAUAGUGGAAUUCCUAGUGUAGAGGUGAAAUUCUUAGAUAUUAGGAGGAACACCGGUGGCGAAAGCGACUAUCUGGAACGUUACUGACGCUGAGGCGCGAAAGCGUGGGGAGCAAACAGG